AGAGAAGUAUGGAGUAAUGGAGAGGAGUUGAGGUUAGGUCAUCCGUACAAGUAAGGCCGUACCAGGCCGUACCAUUUAGGAUGAUGAAAGGAGUUGAGUCGACCACAAGUUACCCCGGUGAAGUUAACUUAGAGUUUCACACAUCUUACUCCUGUUCCUGCAUCAGACCGUUGAAGGGAUAAGGCAGGCACAUCCAGGCUGUCACUAGCUGUAAAGUAAAAGCUACUUUAGCCAAAGACCAAAGCGUGUGAAGGUCCUUAGCCGAUCAAUUCAAACCGGACGCUCCUCACCUGUUGACUCCACAUGCUUUUCAUUUUAACCUAGCUAGCCCUUGUUAUGUCUUAGCCUUCCAUAUAUUGUAACCUUGUUCAUUAAUGAAAGACACACCGAGAGUCUCUCUUGAUCAUACUCUUACUUGUUCAUCAUGAUUCUAGUCUAAAUCAUUCUCAAAUCCAUUCAUUCUCUUUAUACUUUUCCCA
rnacentral:lncRNA from 1 species